CUAACACAUGCAAGUCGAACGGUAGCACAGAGAGCUUGCUCUCGGGUGACGAGCGGCGGACGGGUGAGUAAUGUCUGGGAAACUGCCUGAUGGAGGGGGAUAACUACUGGAAACGGUAGCUAAUACCGCAUAACGUCGCAAGACCAAAGAGGGGGACCUUCGGGCCUCUUGCCAUCAGAUGUGCCCAGAUGGGAUUAGCUAGUAGGUGGGGUAACGGCUCACCUAGGCGACGAUCCCUAGCUGGUCUGAGAGGAUGACCAGCCACACUGGAACUGAGACACGGUCCAGACUCCUACGGGAGGCAGCAGUGGGGAAUAUUGCACAAUGGGCGCAAGCCUGAUGCAGCCAUGCCGCGUGUAUGAAGAAGGCCUUCGGGUUGUAAAGUACUUUCAGCGGGGAGGAAGGUGUUGUGGUUAAUAACCUCAUCGAUUGACGUUACCCGCAGAAGAAGCACCGGCUAACUCCGUGCCAGCAGCCGCGGUAAUAC
rnacentral:rRNA from 1 species